rnacentral:piRNA from 1 species
GUAGAAGCUAGGCCAAUGAUCCAUGA